GGCUAAGACAUGCAAGUCGAACGGAGCAGUCAAUUGGGUAACUGAGAGACUGUUUAGUGGCGAAAGGGUGAGGAAUAGAUAGGUAACGUGCCUUGUACUUCGGGAUGAUGUCGUAUCGCAAGAUACUACCGAAAGGGACACUAAUACCGAAUAAUGUUUCCGGUCGUAUGGCCGGUUCCCAAAGAUUUAUCGGUGCGAGAGAGGCCUAUCUCCUAUCAGUUAGUUGGUGAGGUAACGGCUCACCAAGACUAUGACGGGUAGCGGGGCUGAGAGGUUGGCCCGCCACAUCGGAACUGAGACACUGUCCGGACCUCCACGGAGGGCUGCAGUAACGAAUAUUGGGCAAUGGGCGAAAGCCUGACCCAGCGAACCGCCGCGUGCGGGAGGAAGUCCCUCGGGAUGUAAACCGCUGUCAGGGAAAAGAAAGGCGCAAGCUUGAUCUAUCCCAAAGGAAGCAACGGCUAACUUCGUGCCAGCAGCUGC
rnacentral:rRNA from 1 species